rnacentral:rRNA from 1 species
CCUACGGGCGGCAGCAGUGGGGAAUAUUGGACAAUGGGCGAAAGCCUGAUCCAGCCAUGCCGCGUGUGUGAAGAAGGCCUUCGGGUUGUAAAGCACUUUCAGUGGGGAAGAAAGCCUUGGGGCUAAUACCCUCGAGGAAGGACAUCACCCACAGAAGAAGCACCGGCUAACUCCGUGCCAGCAGCCGCGGUAAUACGGAGGGUGCGAGCGUUAAUCGGAAUUACUGGGCGUAAAGCGCGCGUAGGCGGUCUGAUAAGCCGGUUGUGAAAGCCCCGGGCUCAACCUGGGAACGGCAUCCGGAACUGUCAGGCUAGAGGGCAGGAGAGGAAGGUAGAAUUCCCGGUGUAGCGGUGAAAUGCGUAGAGAUCGGGAGGAAUACCAGUGGCGAAGGCGGCCUUCUGGACUGACACUGACGCUGAGGUGCGAAAGCGUGGGUAGCAAACAGGAUUAGAUACCCUUGUAGUC